rnacentral:sRNA from 1 species
UUACAUGUAAAUCUGCAGCAGAAGAGUAGUGGCUGGCGUCCCUGCUGGUGUCUUCCUGGUGUGGAAUUUAGGCAAAACUUACAAUAUUGUCCUGGGAUCUGGGCAAGUUGUGUUGGGGAUGGACAUGGGUCUCAGAGAGAUGUGUGUUGGCGAGAAACGGACAGUGAUCAUUCCGCCCCACCUGGGCUAUGGGGAAGCUGGCGUGGAUGGAGAAGUGCCCGGCAGUGCCGUAUUAGUGUUUGACAUCGAGCUGCUGGAGCUGGUGGCCGGCCUUCCCGAGGGGUACAUGUUCAUAUGGAAUGGUGAGGUGUCACCCAACCUCUUUGAAGAAAUUGACAAGGAUGGCAACGGAGAAGUCCUCCUGGAAGAGUUCUCAGAGUACAUUCAUGCCCAGGUGGCAUCUGGCAAAGGGAAACUCGCCCCUGGCUUUGAUGCUGAGCUGAUUGUGAAGAAUAUGUUCACCAACCAGGACCGGAAUGGAGAUGGGAAGGUCAUAGCUGAGGAAUUUAAACUCAAAGACCAGGAAGCCAAACACGAUGAACUCUAAACGAACCAGAUGG